GUGGAUCGUCUUCUGGAGGUUCACGGGUUAGUAGCAUCAAGACAUUGAUCUAUGUUGUGUAUAAGAGCAUAAGGACUGUUGUUUUCUCCAAUAAACUCAACUUGCUGCUCCCUUUUGGGCUAGCAGCAAUUCUUGUUCAGGAACUGACUGAUCAAUCUGUGAGUUGCAGUUCUCAUUGGCUUGAAUCAUUUAAAUCAUUGGUCGAAGAUUUUUUUUGUUUAUUUGUUUUGAGGUGGAUUAUAGGCUUGGGUCUUCUUUCUAAGCUUAGUGGAUAUAGCACCUUUGGCUGAGCGUUUAGGUUAUGCUACAGAGUAAGGAUUUCCGUUUCUCUCUCUCUCUAAAGAAUAUGAUUUUCUUUUUGAAAGGGAAUAUGUAUUAGUAAGUUGCUAAUGUGUUGGUUUUCACUCUGGUUUAGGCAGCUAGCCUUUUCAUUGGACCAACAGGUAAAGUUUUCGUUAUAUCUCAAUUUUAAUGUCCUACAGUGUUAUCCUUAGUAUAUGCCCAAAUCAUUUGGUAUUAUUGAUUGUGUGUUGAUUGCAUCAUUAGCUUCCCUUAUAUGUAAAAGAGGAGGCACCACUAAGGCCAACUGAACAAGAUUAACCAAUUAGUUAACAAAAUAACUAAUUCUAUCUAUUUACAAUAGAUAAGUGGAAAAUAUUGAAAUUAUGUAAAAUUUCUGAUAUGUAGUGAAUUUGAAAUUUGCAGUUGGAGGUCUAUUGAAUGCUACUUUUGGGAAUGUAACAUAACUAAUUAUAUCAAUCUUUGCUUUGAAAAGUGGAUUGAUACAUAUUGUUCAGCUGUCGUUAUUGGGUUCAAUUCUGUCAAACUUGUUGCUGGUGCUUGGAUGUGCAUUCUUUUGUGGUGGGCUUGUUCUUCAAAAGGAGCAGCUGUUUAAUAAGGCAACCGUUGUGGUAAACUCUGGAUUGCUGUUGAUGGCAGUCAUGGGCGCACUUUUACCGACUGUUCUUCAUUAUACACACACUGAGGUUUAUUUUGGGAAGUUAGAGUUGGCUCUUUCAAGAUUUAGCAGUUGCAUCAUGCUUGUCACAUAUGCUGCAUACCUCUAUUUCCAGCUAAAGAGUCAAAGUAAUCUAUAUGUUUCUCUUAAUGAGGAAAGGGAUUCAGAUUGAAGAGGGUGCAGAUGAUGACGAAGCUCCCCAGAUCUCAAAAUGGGAAUCAUUAAUCUGGCUUUUGGUUAUAAUUACUUGCGUCUCAAUCCUCUCUGAAUAUUUAGUUGAUACAACAGAGUGAACAUCUAUUGCAUUGCAUAUUCCACUUACAUUUAUUAGUGUUAUUUUGCUCCCACUUGUGGGGAAUGCUGUAGAUCAUGCAAGUGCUAUCACAUUUGCCAUGAAAGAUAAGCUUGACAUAACAUUAGGAGUCUCAAUAGGAUCAUCAACGCAGCUUUGUUUGUGGUAGGUAUUAACAAUAUGAGUUCCUUUUAAUUUCUAUUUUACAUUUUUUACUUCCAAAAUAUAAGAGUUAGUUAUAGUUAGUAUUUGUACAGUUUAAUUUAAAUUACCUUGGAACCAAUAUUUGAAGCAAGUAAAUGCUUGGAGAUGUUUCAAUUGUCAGUAUAUCAUUAUGUUAUUGAUGAGUCACUUUGUGUUAUUGCUUCCUCAAGAUAGUAAAUGUAUUAUUUUUUUGGUUGCUUGAAGUUUAGGUACAAUGUCUUUUGUAGUUAAAAAUAUGUUAGUAAUUGGUGCAUAUAACAGACAUCAAUUCAUAUCAAGGCCAGUCAUCUGCCAGAGUUUGGGAAUUAAAGCUCUUUCAAAGUUCUUUGUUUUGCACCACAUUGGCUGUCUCUCAGCAAAUGGAUAAAAAUUUUAACUGGAAAAGAGAGCUGGUGAUGAUCAUAUUGAUCAUGAGUAAUUUCUACUUUCUGCACAGCUCUUGUUGCAUCAUCUGUCUGAAACUUAUGUGAUACACCUUCAAAGAUGUGCUCCUGUUAAUACCUUUUAACAUGAAUUUGGUUUGGGUGAUCUUUGCUGCCUGUGAUGUGAUGUUCAUUGCAGCUUGAGCAAGAAACCUUUGAGACAAAUUAAUUUAGAGAAAAUAAAGGAUAGAAAUGUACAAGUAGGGAGACAUGUUUAGCACCAAAAACUGGCAUCCCUUUGAGAUACAUUUGUAUUGAUGAUUAUGCUGUUUAGUAUUACUUCAUUGAAGAUUUUUAUUUCAUUUUAUUUUAUCAAUAUCUGCUAAAACCAUUAUUAUAUUGCUGCGGAUUCCUUUUUCUGUAGUCCUUGGUUGGAUUAUGGGGCAAGCUAUGGACUUAAACUUUCAGCUUUUCGAGACAACUUGGUAGCAGCCUUAAUGCUGCAGGUUUGUAUUUCAGUGAUAGAAAAGCAAAUCUCCAUGAUUUGGUCAAAUUUUUAUAAGAGAAGGAAGCAUUUUAAGUAAUAUAUGUCAUGAUGGGUUCUAAUUUAAGCUGGAUGAUGGGAAAUUCCGAAAUUGUAUAUUUCAACAUCUUUUUGAGUUGUCUUGUUCACUUCUUUUGUUUUAAGCAAGUUUGUGCUAAUAGUUUUCCUUUAAUUGUUAUGGAUUCCAUUUUCUUUCCGUAAUUAUUAUUAACUUUUGUUAAUUUUAUAUACACAUUCCUAUAUGCUGUAAAUGCUUUUUUGCAGGAAGGAACUUCCCACUAUUUUAAGGGACUAAUACUUCUUCUUUGCUAUCUGAUAGUUGCUGCAAGAUUUUUUGUACAUGAUUCAUCUGCAGGAGGACAGUUCUGAUUUGAAGUGUCCAUUUUUCAAGCUUAACUUGCACCUAGUCUAUUUCCCAUUGGGAAUUUAUAAUUAAAUGAACACACUAUAUAAAGUUUGUCUUGAAGUGGAGGGUGACUGUAUCAGUAAUCCAUCGUGUCUGCAGAUGAUAGGCACUAUACAAAAAUGUAGUUAAUGAAGCAAUGUAUUCAUGAGGACUAUUUCCAAAAGCUUUGGUCCUUGUUUUUAGCUUUCUGCUUGUUCUUGUCAGUAAAUUGACUGGUAUCUUGCCUAUUAUGUUCUCUCUUCUUCAACUACUGCUUGGUGGUCAAAUGUUCACUUAUAUUUAGUAGACAGAAGUGCCUUGUAAAAAAUUGAGAUACUUUUUCUUGUUAAAUAAUUUCUACCUUUUCAUUUAGUUAUGAAGGGGAAACACUCAAUGAAAUACUGGUUAUAUGG